UUGCUUCCUUCAGCAGUAGAUGUACUAAAAAUGGAAUGAUACAGAGGUUAGCAUGGCUUCUGGGCAAGGAUGACAUGCAAAUUCCUGACGCAGUCCGUAUUUGG